AAAAGAAAGAAGGCCAAAGGAAAGAAGGUGGCCCAGUCCCUGCCGUCGUGAGGAAGCAGGAGGCUAAGAAAGUGAUGAAACCGCUGUGUGAGAAAAGGCCUAAGAGUUUUCUUAGGCAGGCAUUGGACAGGACAUCCAGCCCAAAAGAGACCUCCACUGCUUUGUGAAAUGGCCCCGCUAUAUCUGGUUCCAGCUGCAAAGAGCUAUCCUCUAUAAGCAGCUGAAAAUGCCUUCUGCCAUUAACCAGUUCACCCAAGCCUUAGACCCCCAAACAGCUACUCAGCCACUUAAGCUGAUCCACAAGUACUGACCAGAGACAAAGCAAGAGAAGAAGCAGAGACUGUUGGCCCAGGCUGAGAAGAAAGCUGCUAGCAAAGGGGUUGUCCCCACUAGGAAAUCACCUGUUCUUUGAGCAGGGGUUAACAUCAUCACCACCUUGCUGGAAAACAAGAAGUCUCAGCUGGUAGUGAUUGCACAUGGUGUGGACCCCAUCAAGCUGGUUAUCUUUCUGCCUGUCCUGCGUCCUAAAAUGGGGGUCCCUUAUUGCAUUAUCAAGGGGAAGGAAGGCAAGACUGGGACAUCCAGUCCACAGCAAGCACUACUGUCGCCUUCACACAG
rnacentral:lncRNA from 1 species